GUAAUUAGCGCUCAGGAUUCCAAAUUUGUAAUUACUCUCCCUCGCAGCAGUUCAGUACUGCAGUAUUGUACGCUUCUGUGAUUUCGUCGUUUAACCUCAAAAACGACACAACACAAAAACCACUAACGAGGUCUCUCGUAAACCCUAGAAAGUGGCAGGGACAAUUAUACUCCAAAGGAACACGCACAGGUCACGAGGAUCCUCUUCGCUACUGAAUAUGGCAGGAUCAGCGGCGAAUGCCUCCACGGAAGGCAAUUGUGGGGAGGAGAUGUCAUUGAAAGAUAAGGGUAAUGAAUUCUUCAAAGCGGGAAACUAUCUUAAAGCUGCUGCUCUCUACACUCAGGCCAUCAAGCUUGACCCUUCAAAUCCUACUCUUUAUAGCAAUCGUGCUGCUGCAUUUCUGCAAUUGGUUAAGCUUAAUAAAGCACUUGCUGAUGCUGAGACAACAAUCACAUUGAACCCCCAAUGGGAAAAAGGUUAUUUCAGGAAAGGGUGUGUAUUAGAGGCCAUGGAGCAGUAUGAUGAUGCCUUGGCUGCUUUCCAAACAUCUCUACAGUACAAUCCACAGAGCACUGAGGUAUCUAGAAAGAUUAGGAGGAUAUCCCAAUUGGCAAAAGAUAAAAAACGAGCUCAAGAAGUGGAGAGCAUAAGAUCCAAUGUUGACAUGGCAAAGCACUUGGAUGCCUUGAAAUCUGAACUGUCUGAAAAGAUUGGGUCUGAAGAGUGUUGUAAAGAGAUUUUCUCUUUCCUUGUUGAGACAAUGGAGGCAGCUGUAAAAUCAUGGCAUGAAACUUCUAAAGUUGAUCCUAGAGUCUACUUUCUUAUUGACAAGGAAAAGACGGAGACUGAUAAAUAUGCUCCAGUUGUCAAUAUUGAUAAGGCCUUUGAAUCGCCUCAUACACACAGCAGUUGUUUCACAUUUCUUAGACAGUAUGCUGAGGAGACUUUCUCAAAAGCAGCUUGUUUAGUUGUACCAAAAAGUAUCAUAUCUUACCCACAGGUAUGGAAAGGUCAAGGAUCAAGGAAAUGGAAGUAUGGGCAACAUGAUGGCUUCUUUGUUCAAUUUGAGUCGCCUUUCUUGCGAAAAUUAUGGUUUAUUCCUAGUACCAGUGAGAAGGGUCAAAAACUCUGCAGGGAUCCAGAGCCUCUAGACAUUAGCGCACAUGAAGUGCUUCCACGAUUGUUCAAAGAGAAGCUGCCCAACUGUUAGCAAAAUCACGCAUCUUUUGUAUGGUAUCUACCUGAGGAAAAAGAAUGUGCAUUUUUAUGGGAGGAUUGCAUUUGAGGAAGAUGAACCAGGUCCACAUUUUGACUUGACUGUGAUAUUGGAGUCCCUGGAUAGAUGUAAGCACUUUCAAGAAGGUGCUUUUUCUGUUAGCCAAGAUAGAAAUUCCAAGCUACCAUGGUGCAGUGAUUGUUGUAAAUUACAAGUGAUAGUCAAGGAUGCCGAUGGAAAUGGAGACAUUAUUUCAUUGCUUAAUGCAUCUGCGACGGAGGCCCAUAUCUUUUAUCAUUUCUACAACAUUACCUGUUUAAGCCAGGGUCAACAUCAUCCCUGCCACCUAUCUCCAUCCUCAUAUUUGAGCUCGUAUGUAGCAUGAAGUUGCAUGCUGCUACAGCCUCACCCACGGUAAGAUAGAUACAUUCCUGACCAAUUUUUCCGAUGAACUUUGUUUUUUCCAUCUUCUUAAUCACUUCACUUCGUGGGUUUGCCAGUACCAGCUACAUUAAUAAGCACACAAGUUAAAUAACUUCCAGAGAAAUCAUGAAAAUGGAAGGGCGAAGAUUUUUUUUUUUUUCUUUCUUUUGGUACCUUAAGACCUCUUCUGUCAGUGUUCUUAUUAACUUCUUCGAGCAUGCUGAUCCCACUUGUAUCUAUGCUGCCAAUAGCUGUGAAUUGAACGGAUUGGAACAUUAGGGAAAAUAAUUAAGAGUUAUAUAUACUUUCAA